rnacentral:rRNA from 1 species
CCUACGGGAGGCAGCAGUGGGGAAUUUUCCGCAAUGGGCGCAAGCCUGACGGAGCAACGCCGCGUGAGGGAUGAAGGCCUCUGGGCUGUAAACCUCUUUUCUCAAGGAAGAAGACCUGACGGUACUUGAGGAAUAAGCCACGGCUAAUUCCGUGCCAGCAGCCGCGGUAAUACGGGAGUGGCAAGCGUUAUCCGGAAUUAUUGGGCGUAAAGCGUCCGCAGGCGGCCUAUUAAGUCUGUCGUUAAAGCGUGGAGCUCAACUCCAUUUAAGCGAUGGAAACUGGAAGGCUAGAGUGUGGUAGGGGCAGAGGGAAUUCCCGGUGUAGCGGUGAAAUGCGUAGAUAUCGGGAAGAACACCAGUGGCGAAGGCGCUCUGCUGGGCCAUAACUGACGCUCAUGGACGAAAGCCAGGGGAGCGAAAGGGAUUAGAUACCCCUGUAGUCCUGGCCGUAAACGAUGAACACUAGGUGUCGGGGAAUCGACCCCUCGGUGUCGUAGCUAACGCGUUAAGUGUUCCGCCUGGGGAGUCGCACGCAAGUGUGAAACUCAAAUGAAUUGACGGCUGNGAGNGCGAGCGACGACGAGGAGAGG